UCUGAGUAGUAUUUUGACGCAUGAGUACACAUAUCAACAGGACAGAGAGUAAGAGUAGAGCAAGGGAGAUGUGGGCACAGUACCAUAAUCAGAAGGAUUAAAGUGUGAAAAUAACAGAGAUUCUGAGAAAAUACAGCACAUUCAAGAAAUUGCAAGAUGUUCGGUAGGGCAGUUCUGGUGAUAAGGAGGACAGCAAAUGAUGAAGCUGGUGAAAAUGGCAAGAAACCCACCGUGAAAUACUCUGUGAGUCAUACAAAAUCAUUAUUCUGGAAAUAUGAAAGCAAUGAGGAGCCAUUGAUGGACAUUAAGGAGUUGAGAAAUCGGAUUCACAAGAAAGAUAUAUAACUUUCCUGCUGCUAGAAACUUGAAGACCUGGGGUUUGAACCUCAGCAGACUGGCUCCAGGAGAUACGUGCUCAACUACUACACCCACUGCCCCAACGGAAGGCAAAGAUGAACAUGACACUGAUGCUGCAUAGGGCUAAAUGUAAUUGUUAGAUGUGAAAGAAACCACUUUUAUGCUUUUAAAAAUAUCAAGAAGAGGCAAAGGAAUGGAGACGGUUCGAAGAGGGCUCUUGCUCUAUAGAGAAUGGGGAGGGGGAGAUAAAGAACAGAAGCACUGACUCCAGUAUUUGUAUGCUGAGAGACAGAUUCAUAAUAGGGGAGCUGGUUGAGGUGGCAAAGAGAAUGUAGAUGGAGCAAAGUGUGAGAGGCAGCAGGAAGAAGUGAGAGCACGGCAUAGGAAAUCUUCCUUGAUUAUUCCUCUACUUUGAUCUCUCCUCUUUGGAUUCCUAGAACACUUAGGACCUUAAUUACUCACACUGGCAGGUCAUUAUAGACUGAACAUCUCUUGUUUCUAUUUCCAUACAUUCUGUCCUCUCGUUAUCCCCAAGUAAACACAAAGCUCCUUGAGGUGAGAAAUUAUAUUACAUACAAG